UACAGAGGGUGCAAGCGUUGUUCGGAAUUAUUGGGCGUAAAGCGCGUGUAGGCGGCUUUGCAAGUCGGGUGUGAAAGCCCUCGGCUCAACCGAGGAAGUGCGCCCGAAACUGCAGAGCUUGAGUACCGGAGAGGAUGGCGGAAUUCCCCAAGUAGAGGUGAAAUUCGUAGAUAUGGGGAGGAACGCCGGUGGCGAAGGCGGCCAUCUGGACGGAUACUGACGCUGAGACGCGAAAGCGUGGGUAGCAAACAGG
rnacentral:rRNA from 1 species